AUAUAUAUACAAAAGACGUAUAUAUAUCAAUCAACUGAAGACAAGAAGAAAUUAAGAAAGAGUCUACAUUAACAUCCAUUCAUCUAGUUUUUUUACAUUGGCUAGCCUGCCAGUCUUCUAUUCAAGUUUUGUUCCCACUUCAAGGGGGGAGAGAGAAGAAUCGAGUUACAAAGCUAUUUUGGAACUGGGAAAACAAACUUGAAGAGAAAAAAAGAAUCUAGACUGACUAUCAUAGAAGAACUGUGGUUUGUAAGAAAAAUAGAGUUUUCAAAUCAAAGACUGUACAAGACUAUUUUCUACAACUGAGACAAAAAGCACAAGAUACAACGUGAAUUCUAGAAGCAAGCACGUGGCAGACAUUGGCAAAUUUCCAGAUCCAAGCAAAGAACUGCGCAGCUGUGUGGAUGAAGCAACGAAAUAGACAGAAAUAACUGAUCUGGUAAAGCGUGACAGAUCCUUGUGGCAAUAAAUCAGGAAAGAAUUCCUUCAG